GGCCACAUAACGUUGAAACACCAUUUCAUGUACAAUCACUGAAGCUAAGCAUCGUCAAGCCUGGCCAGUACCUAGAUGGGUGACCACUUGGGAAUACCAGGUGCUGUAAG